GUCUUCUGUUCUCUCUUCUCCGACUGUGUUUAAUCAAUCACGACAAACAAAGUUUUUUCUUUUCUUCUUUUCUUCUUUUCUUCUUCUGCCAUCGCAGUCAGAUCAAGAUUCGCCUUCCAUAUCCACUCGCCAUUGCAUCUCUGUUAGGUCCUUUUGUUCGUUCUGUUAAUUUGGAGGAGAUUGAGCUGGUUCAUCUUCUGUUUCAUUGCGGUACGGUUUCUCUAUUUUCUUUUGAACGAACUGCCGUUUUCAACAUUGGUACUGUUGUUUAAGGACUUGUCGUUACUCGUUACGAUUUUUAUGAAUUUUUCGUUGGAAAUUUUACUGCCUUUGUGAGUUUAAUGCGAAGGAAAUGCUGAUGCGUGUGUUUUUACUUUGAAUUAGAAUUGGAUGUGGCAGGUGCAUUUCUGUGAGAAGUGUUAAUGCCAGUGCUCUAUAUGCUAGAAGAUUGUUAUGGAUUUUUAAGAUGAAGCUGAGUGAAUAAUGUCUGACACUGUUAUCAGCUGAGCUUGUGUUUUUUGUCGUUUGUUCAGAGCUCUGAUGAAAUUGUUAUGGACUUGAUAGUGUUGGACAUUUAUUUCUCUGAAGAACUUGCUACAGACUUGAAUGAGCGAUGGUCGUUAUCUUUUGAUGUUAAAAGUAAAAUGCUGCUUUGGAAUAGAUCCUCAAAAUUGCUUCUGCGGAUGAGUAGUUGAUUAUGAACUGCAAGAUUAGUUGAUUAUGAGUCGCCUAAAUCUGCACUAGUUGAUGGUGGAAGCAUUUCAAACUGAACCCCAACCCGUGUUUUGAAUCCAUUUGCCUUGCUCGUUAUUUUCCUGGAGUAUGGAUGAUGGCCGGCAACAUGAAAAUGGGAGGCACAAGCUAGAUUAUUUCAGAGGGAGCCCCUCGCCUUGGAAUAUGAUGCCCCCGCAUCAUGUAAAGGAACCAAAUGCCUUGGUCAUGAAUAAGAAGAUCAUGUCCAUUAUAGCUGAGAGAGAUGCUGCUAUUCGGGAGCGAAAUUUAGCACUAUCCGAGAAGAAUGAUGCAUUGGCUGCACGCAAUGAGGCUCUCCGGCAGCGUGAUGAGGCAUUUGCGCAGCGUGAUACUGCAUUAAUGGAAAGAGACAAUGCUCUUGCAGCCCUUCAAAUUCGUGAUAAUUCUUCUAACUUUCCUCUCAGCAGUGGGAUCCAACGGAAAGCAAAGCGAUCACACUAUUUAUCUAAUCAUAUGCCAAACAUGACUGAAACUCCCUAUGGUACAAAAGAUGUGCAAAUAACUGAUGCCUUUCCAAUUACAGUUAUAGCAUCUGAAGCUGUUAAGUCUCAACAGGGAAAGCAAACAAAGGACAACAAGACAGUUUCAUCAAAGGCUUCAAAGCUGCCCAGGAAAAAAGUCGGUGAAGAUUUGAAUAGACAGGCGGCGACCGAUGGCACAAAAUACAGAACUGACUGGGAUGGUCAGGAUGUGGGUUUGAAUCUUGUUAGUUUUGAUGACUCUUCUAUGCCAGCACCAAUUUGCUCCUGCACUGGACUUGCAAGGCAGUGCUACAAAUGGGGGAAUGGGGGUUGGCAAUCAUCGUGUUGCACCACCCAUAUGUCCAUGUAUCCACUUCCACAUAUGCCUAAUAAACGCCAUGCCCGCAUGGGUGGGCGCAAAAUGAGUGGAAGCGUUUUUACAAAAUUGCUUAGUCGGCUAGCAGCAGCAGGACAUGAUCUGUCAGUACCAGUGGAUCUUAAGGACCACUGGGCGAGGCAUGGUACGAAUCGCUACAUAACAAUCAGGUAGCUAGGAAGUAACUUCAAGAGGAGUAGAACAUUUUGCAGAGGUCCACGGGGUCUGUCGAAUAUUUCAAUCGGUAACAUGACUCGACUGAAGUGAGUUUACAACGAGGUAGCGCUCUUCCCUUGUGUUGGCAUAGGCAAUAGGCAUUGUGAUUAGACUGAACCUGUAUGGACCAGAGUAGAUUGGGGAUGUUUGUAGAGUAUGGCCAUAAGAAUGCGGCAGUUUUUUGUGCAAAUUCCUUGGAGGCUCGUUGUGGGUUGCCGCCCUCCACUUUUCUCCAAUUGCCAAAUUCCCCCAUUAGAAUUUAAGAUAAGUGGAACUGGAGAAUGUAGAAUCAAGAAUGGAUCUGGAAUGAUGAGAAUGAAGGGUUUGGGGUUGAUGAGUAGAUGCUGAAAUGGCGGUGCGGUCGGUGAAUCGGGUCGGGUGCUUACGUUAAUUGGUAACUUUGGUCUAGCUGGUAGAGAAUAUCCUCCCCUCCAGCUCUUUUUGCACUCAAAAUGGAGUGAGAAGCUUCAUUUUGCCUGGUUAGUAUCAUUCUUUCUCGGUUUUCCUUCUCCAUCUUUAUACCAAUUGCCCCAUUUGCUC